GGAGUGCUGGGUUGUCGCUCGCAGCCGUCAUGGCAGCGGAGGAGAAGGACCCUCUGAGCUAUUUUGCGGCAUACGGGAGCAGCAGCUCAGGCUCCUCGGACGAGGAGGAUAACAUCGAGCCGGAGGAGACGAGUCGCAGAACCCCGGAUCCGGCGAAGUCGGCGGGCGGCUGUAGGAACAAGGCGGAGAAGCGGCUCCCGGGACCUGACGAGCUGUUUAGGAGCGUGACUCGCCCGGCCUUUCUCUACAAUCCGCUCAACAAACAGAUAGACUGGGAGAGGCACGUCGUCAAGGCGCCUGAGGAGCUUCUCCCUGAGACCCCUUCCCUUUGACGCCGAAGUGCCUGCGGUGCUGCCUCCAAGACAGUGUCUGCUGCAGCCUCCUGAAGGGGUCAGCCUUGGCGUAGUAUCUCUGAGACUGGAUUCUUCUUUGCCUCCAAAGGAAUUCAAAAUAUGGAAGUCAAAUUAUGUACCACCUCCUGAGACCUACACCACUGAGAAGAAGCCUCCGCCUCCAGAGCUUGACAUGGCAAUAAAAUGGUCUAACAUAUAUGAGGACAAUGGUGAUGAUGCUCCACAGAAUGCUAAGAAAGCUAGGCUUCUACCAGAAGGGGAGGAGACGUUGGAAUCAGAUGAUGAAAAAGAUGAGCAUACUUCUAAAAAGCGCAAAGUAGAGCCAGGAGAACCAGCAAAGAAGAAAAAGUAGAAACAAAUGACCAGAAUUUCUGUACUGCUAAACUUGUUGAAAUGUUUCUUUGGACAGAUUAAGUUGAUAUUGUGGGUUAUUAUGCCACAUCUCCAUGAAAAUGCAUACGUUAAUGAACUAAUAAGUAUUGCCUCAAGAACUUUCCACUAUAGAAUUCUUUUUUUAUUUAAAACAUGUAUGUAUUUAAAACUCAACUGGUGACUUGUGAUUGUGAAAUUGAUAACACUUGGAUGCAUUCUUGCUCUCACAGAAUUGGUGACAUGCUUUGAGAGUUUUGUCACAUGUUGACAUGCCAAUGUUCUUAUAAACCUUUUAUAAAGGAAUAUAUUUUUAAAGUAAAUAUAUUGUAAUGUACUGUGAACUUGUAGGGUGCUUUUCAACAGUCUUUGUACAGUGUAAAUAGAUCAUGGAAAUAAAAUUACUUAUUCAAUAUUACUAUUACUGUAUAACAUUAACAUUUGAAUGUUUGUCUGUGACAAGUACCCUAUUUGUCGUGUGACAUUUUAAGUUGUAAUAAGAAGUAUUACCAUUUAAAGAGUGCCUCCUGUGUUCCAGGUGCUUUGUGCAUAUAUUUUCUCUGAUCCUUAAACAACCUAGCGCAAGGUAUUAUUAGUAUUCUCAUUUUAUAAUAAAGAGUGCUUGAGUAGCUUGUCUGAUGUUACACAGCUAGUGAGUGGUUCAUUUGGAAUUUAACUUGGGACACUUGAACCUCAAAAUCAUCACAUUAAACCACCUGUCCACCAGUCAAAAUUUAGUCAUCUUUCAGGAAUGACAUCAAUUGUCAUCUCUUCCAGGUACUUUUUUCUGUUGUACCUGGAGAUCCGUUAGUAGAGAUCUUUUCCUCUCCUGAUUGGAUGACUGUACUUGUCAUCUGUGCUUUAUGGUUAUUCAUUAAUUUCUUUAUUAAAUUGUAAGUUUACAGGACAUUCAGUUAAAUUUGAAUUUCAGAUAAAUAAUGUUUUAGUAUAUUUAAUAUUCAGGACAUAUACAAAAAAUGUGUUUAUCUGAAAUUCAAAUUUAACUGAACAUCUUUUAUCUGGUAACCCUACUUCUACAUGUUUUCUCUACCCAGCUUCUAUUUUAAUGCUUUGCGUAUAGUAAUAAUAAAAUGAACAAGAAGUAGUUGGGAAGGUGUGAUCGUUGAGUUCCAAAAUGCAGUUAUUUGUAGCAUUUUGAACAAUAAAAAGGUUACACUCUGCAUCAAUCUUUCCAUGAAUCUGAAGCCCUUAAGAGAUAAGAAUUACAGAACAGUGCACAUUCAGUGUAUAAGAACAAGACAGCCAAGCAUGGUGGCUUAUGCUUGUAAUCCCAGCACUUUGGGAGGCCAAGGUGGGAGGAUAGCUUGAGGCCAAGAGUUGGAGACCAGCCUAGACAACAUGAUAAGACCUCAUCUUUACAAAAAAUAAUUUAGAAAGAAAAAGACAUAAUCUAAGUAUUUUUUUUUAAAUCUGUUUUUCCCCAUUGUGGAAGAUAAAAUUUGAACAAUUACGCGAGAUUUGUUUACCUAGGCAUGUGUAUCAAGUAGAUUAAAAUUCAUAAAAGUCAUUAAGAGUGAUUGCAUCAGCCAUGGUGCUUUGUGGAAUGAAGGUCCAUAACAGCAUGAUGGCUUCCAGUAUAUCAUCGAGUUUAGAAAAACCAAUUCUAUAGCUGCCCAUCCUCCAGGUUUGCAAAUAUAUGAAUCCCAAAAUUGAAGUAAUUGCUAAAGCAAGAAUAUGUUUUUUUAAGAUUGUAGUCUUUGUAAUGAAUUUGGAAAUCUGUGGUAUCAUAUACUAAGGAGUGGCAUCAAGUGACAAAGCAAGACCAUAGUAUGUACAUGACACCAAACACAACCAAAUCAAGUUAUAUUUGUGAAGUUGUGAUUCCCAAGCUCUGGAGAAAUCUAAAAUUUGGAUGCAUGUGUUGGUGGAGCAAAUAUCUCAGAAGUUACUGAAAUAUUGCAAGGUUCUUAAGUUAGCAUGAAAGCAAACUUUUUUCUCUCUUUCCUGGGAGAUGUGCAGAGUAUGUUGUAUGAGGAGGAAGACAGGACUUAGGGAAGAGGCUAAAUAUUUUGGAGCAAGUCUGACUCAGCCAUUUGUAUCUCCUGGUUGGAAAACGGACUGUCAUAUCACUCUACAUUCAUCAUCACAUUAGAGAAUAGAUUAUUUUCCCCUUUAGAGAUGUCCUGGGAACGUGUUUGCACAAGUGUCCAUGUGGGUACUGAGGUGAAGUUUGGUUGAGCUAGUGGAAACCUAGUGGGGAAAAGUCUUAAAAAUCCAUAUACAUAAGAAAAAUCAUCUGUCCAAGUAUCUUUCAUUUUAGAGAAUCGAGUCACUUGAUACUUCUGAUUGUUUCCUGCACUUUAAGUUAAGCCUGGGCAACAUGUUGAGAUCCUGAUCUGGUUUGGCUGUGUCCCCAACCAAAUCUCACUUGAAUUGUAAUUCCCACAAUUCCCACGUGUCAUGGGUGGUGACUGAAUUAUGGGGGUGGGUCUUUCCGGUGCUGUUCUUAUGAUAGUGAAUGAGUCUUACGAGAUCUGAUGGUUUUAAAAACCAUCAGUGCAGGGAGUUGCCCUGCACAAGCUCUCUGCCUGCUGCCCUCCACAUAAGAUGUGUCUUGCUCCUCUUGCCUUCUGCCAUGAUUGUGAGGCUUCCUCAGCCAUGUGGAACUGUAAGUCCAAUUAAACCUGUUUCUUGCAAA